GACCAACGCUGGCGGCGUGCUUAACACAUGCAAGUCGUACGGUAAGGCCCUUUCGGGGGUACACGAGUGGCGAACGGGUGAGUAACACGUGAGUAACCUGCCCACAACUUUGGGAUAACGCUAGGAAACUGGUGCUAAUACUGGAUAUGUGCUCCUGCUGCAUGGUGGGGGUUGGAAAGCUCCGGCGGUUGUGGAUGGACUCGCGGCCUAUCAGCUUGUUGGUGGGGUAGUGGCCUACCAAGGCGGCGACGGGUAGCCGGCCUGAGAGGGUGACCGGCCACAUUGGGACUGAGAUACGGCCCAGACUCCUACGGGAGGCAGCAGUGGGGAAUAUUGCACAAUGGGCGCAAGCCUGAUGCAGCAACGCCGCGUGCGGGAUGACGGCCUUCGGGUUGUAAACCGCUUUCAGCAGGGACGAAGCUUUUUGUGACGGUACCUGCAGAAGAAGCACCGGCUAACUACGUG
rnacentral:rRNA from 1 species